CCUACGGGUGACAGCAGUGGGGGAUAUUGCACAAUGGGGGGAACCCUGAUGCAGCGACGCCGCGUGGGUGAAGGAGCGUUUCGGCGCGUAAAGCCCUAUCGGCAGGGAAGAAGAUGACGGUACCUGGCCAAGAAGCCCCGGCUAACUACGUGCCAGCAGCCGCGGUAAUACGUAGGGGGCAAGCGUUAUCCGGAUUUACUGGGUGUAAAGGGUGCGCAGGCGGCCUGUUAAGUCAGCGGUAAAAGCCCGGGGCUCAACCCCGGCGAGCCGUUGAAACUGGCGGGCUGGAGUUGGAGAGAAGUACGCGGAAUGCGCGGUGUAGCGGUGAAAUGCUUAGAUAUCGCGCAGAACCCCGAUUGCGAAGGCAGCGUACCGGCUCCACACUGACGCUGAGGCACGAAAGCGUGGGUAUCGAACAGGAUUAGAUACCCGAGUAGUC
rnacentral:rRNA from 1 species